rnacentral:rRNA from 1 species
GAUGAACGCUGGCGGCGUGCAUAACACAUGCAAGUCGAGCGGCAGCGAGGGGUGCUUGCACCCUGUCGGCGAGCGGCGGACGGCUGAGUAACGCGUGGGAACGUGCCCCAAAGUGAGGAAUAACUGCCCGAAAGGGUAGCUAAUACCGCAUAUUAUCUUCGGAUCAAAGGAUUUAUCCGCUUUGGGAGCGGCUCGCGUCGGAUUAGGUAGUUGGUGAGGUAAUGGCUCACCAAGCCGACGAUCCGUAGCUGGUCUGAGAGGAUGACCAGCCAGACUGGAACUGAGACACGGUCCAGACUCCUACGGGAGGCAGCAGUGAGGAAUCUUCCACAUUGGGCGAAAGCCUGAUGGAGCAACGCCGCGUGCAGGACGAAGGCCUUCGGGUUGUAAACUGCUUUUAUAAGUGAGGAAUAUGACGGUAACUUAUGAAUAAGGAUCGGCUAACUACGUG